AUGCCUACAUUAGGUCUCAAGAGGAAGGAAGCAGGGUGAGUAAAGGAGCUGGAAGAUGUGGCCAGCGAGAUAGCAGACACUCCAGUUCAGUCUCAUUGUCCAGGGAGGGAAGAGCUUCAAGAAGGAGGGAGUAGGUGGCCGACAGAGCAAAUACUGUUAACUGCAGUUACUGAGAAGGAUAAGAGGUCUGAGGUGCUGCUGGUGGGACAUUGAAGUGGAAGCAUCCCACAGCUGGAAAUUUGGAACUGGAGGUCUGGAAAGAGGACAUUGGUUUGACAGUCACUCAUGGAUGAAAGUACUUUUGUGGGAGUCCAGAAGUCCAGUGAGGAAGUUCCAGCAUUCUUUUGGAUCAAAAAAAAAAAUCAGAGAUUGGGUGCAUUGAAGAGGGAAGCAGCUUCUGACCCUCAGCGGUGCUGACCAGGGAGGCAGUAGUGGCCGGAAAAGCAGGGACAAGACUCCAGGGAGAAUAUAACCCAAGGGAAUAUUCUUGCUUGAAGAACAGGGCUUGAAGAGCAGGGAGUUGAAAAUUUCAUCAUAAAUGCAAGCAAUCUUCCUCAGAUCAAAGGCCCUUGCAUUGGGGUAUGUUUUACCUUGUUGGAACUUCAGGUGGUCAGAGACCAGUGGUUGGAUAAGAUCUACCUUCAAGGAGAUACAUAGACAACAGAAGCCAGACAGUUCCAGUUACUACCUCAGAAAGGGAAUCAAGAACUGGGUUGAAGAUGGGAAAAACCAAGCAUGAUUUUUUAAGCCUGGAAUCUCCACAUCUGUAUUUUUUAUUGUAUCUUGUUUGUUCCUGGUCUUUAUCAGUUGAAAAACCUCACAAACAAAAUAGGCCUAUAUGCCUGUCUUCAGGAUUGUUGGAAAGGAUUUUCAGCCAGGCUUGGGAGCAGAAGAACCAGAGGCAACCAUGAGGUGGGGACAGCCAUUAAAGAAGAGAGGAAAACCAGUUGGUCCUGAGGCCUUUGUCAAUAAAGGAAAAGGAGAACAUAUAAUUAGAGGCUGUAAUGGUAAAUUUGAUAUAUUAACUUGGCUAGGCCAUGGUGCCCAAAUAUGUAGUCAAAGAUUAUUCUGGAUGUGUUUGUGAGGGUAUUUUUGGAUAGGUUUUUGAAUAGGUUUUAGGAUUAUAGGUUAAUCCUAUAAACUGAUGGACUUUGAGUAAAGCAGAUUUCCCUCCAUAAUAUGAGUGGGCAUCAUUCAAUCAGAUGAAGGCCUGCAUAGAACAAAAGACAGAGGGGCACCUGGGUGGUUCAGUGGGUUAAGCAUCUGACUUCAGCUCAGGUCAUGAUCUUACGGUUCAUGACUUUGAGCCAUGCAUCAGGCUCUGUGCUGACAGUUCAGAGCCUGGAGCCUGCUUCAGAUUCUGUGUCUCCCUCUCUCUCUGCCCCUCCCCCAAUCACACUCUGUC